AGAGUAUUUUUCACCACAUAAAGAUCUAAUUUAAGUUGAAACCAUAAAAGCUGUAAAGAUGAUAAAUAUUGUACUAUGACAGGCUGCUAAGUGUUAUGACAGUAACUUAAAGGUUAUAGAUUGAAUCCCUGAGCAUACAAGGUAAGAAACCUUUUGUUUUGUAAUUAUUAAAAAAAUAUUGUUGGACCAGAAUCCUGACAAUAUAUUUAGGAUAAAUUUGAGGGUAUUCUCUAGUUCUGAAGUAAUGUCAAGUAAUUUAGUCAGUCAUUCACACUGGUUGCACCCUCUCAAAUGAUUUGAAAUGUACACAAUAUUAAAGAUUCAUAAAAUUUUACAGCAGGUACAGUAUAUGCUACUUAUACUGUAUUGGGGAUCUUGCAUUAGGGAUCUUACCACAGCCCCUGGUUAAUACCACUUCCUUGUUUAUUCUUCUAUUGUUUCAGAUAGCUGACUUGUGAUUGUGUUAAAGCUAGCGCUGUAAUUAAAAUAAUAGUAAACAAAUGUUCCAUAGAAAACUGGUUUGAAAAUCCAUUAUUAGGAUACGCAUUUAUACUGUCAUGCUUGUUGCAUCUCCAUCCCUGCCAGAGUGCAUUGCGCUCGCGCACUUUUUGCCGGUGAGCACUUUUUCUAUUCUCCUCCCCCACCUUGAUAAGCGAAUCCCUUGCUCGUGCUGAAGAGCAUGAUCGAUUUGCGCGCCCGCUAGCAGAUGUGGAACGUUAUUCCUUGAUUUGUUGGCUGCGGUGGAACUUGCUGUCCUGUGUUAAGAUUCCUGUGAUGACAACACAACAGGCACUGCAGAGAUUAAAAUGCCGCAUGGAGCUUUUAAAAAAGCACCAUUCAAAGUGUGAGUCCAGAAUGGAAAAGAGAAACAGAGAAGAGCAGACACCUGAUACUGAUGUUGUCAGUACCUCCAAAGAGAUGGAAGAUGGGACUGAGUCUGGGUCGAGAGGCCAUAUGUUCAAUGAUGCACCUCCCUUGAUCAGAACUGAUAGCGUAUAUUUAACCAAAGAAAUGCUUGGAUAUGAUACUGACAACUCAAUAACCAGCACUGACAACAGUGAGGAUGAUUAUGUCCCAGCCUCAUCGGAGUCAUCAGAGGAAGACAGUUCCGCUGGAAUAUCUGGACUCAAGAGAAAUAAGCCAAAGAAAGACGCACGUAAGAAAUGCUUGAUCAAAAGAAAAGAGUACAACAAGACCUAUGAAGGGCACACUAGUACCCCAAAAGAUGUGAGUCUAAGCACUGAAACCUUGGUUGUAUUGAAAGUCUCGCAGGCUGAUGGUUCCAAGAAUUACCACAAAAAAAAGCACUUCUGUCUGUUCUGUGAAGAACCCCAACUGAAAAUUGCACGUCAUUUAGAACGUAAACAUAGUAAGGAAAUUGAAGUAGCUAGUGCCCUUCGAUUUGCAAAGAAUUCAAAAGAAAGGAGACUUCAUCUGAAUCUCCUUCGCAAAAAAGGGAAUCGGGCACACAACAUUCGGGUACUUAAAGAGGGAAAAGGAUUUUUGGUACCUUGUAAACAAACAAGUAAUCAAGACAGCAAUCCAGAGGACUAUCAGCAUUGUUUUGCUUGCUAUGGGCUCUUCAAACGUAAAUUCAUGUGGAAACAUGCGGAACGGUGUACACUAGCAAGUAAAGUUCGCAAAAUGAUGCCUGGGAAAACCCCAAUACAGACACUCUGUGCAAGCUCUCAACCGGUUCCUAAAGAAGUGAGUGAAAAGUUAUGGAAACUUGUAAAUCAUAUGAAUCAAGAUGACAUAGCCCAUGCAAUAAAAGAAGACCGAUACAUAAUCGCCCUGGGUGAAAAAAUGUUCAACAAAAAGGGGGAGAACCGAUCACAACACCAGCACAUUCGUCAAACUAUGCGAGAACUAGGGAGACUUUUGAUUUCAGGUAGAAUGGUGACACCUUUGAAAAAAAUGAAGGAUUAUAUCAACCCCAAGAACUUUGAAUAUGUCAUAAAAGCUGUCAAAGAAGUGGCUGGCUUUAACGAAGAGACAAAUAGGUUUGGAAAGGCCACUCUGGCCACAAAGCUUGGACAAAAUAUACAGAAAAUUGCAGACAUCUUUGAGAGUGAAGCUCUCAUUGCACAGAAUGAAGAGAAGAUGAAGCUUGUCCGUGACUUCAGAGGUAUAUAUCACCUUCGCUGGAAUGAGAUGAUCUCUGCUGCUGCAUACCGUACACUGGAACAGAAGAAAUGGAAUGCACCCCAGCUCAUUCCAUUAGCAGAUGAUGUAAAGAAAAUGCAUAUGUACAUGGAGGAUGAUCAGAAACGAUACUACGAACAACUGUUAAGUCUAAAAACAUCAAAAAAUUGGAGCAAUCUAGUACAGGUGAUACUGGCCCAGAUGAUAAUCUUCAACCGAAGGAGGGACAAAGAAGUGUCUGCUAUGACUGUGGCAACAUUUCUCUCCCGGGACAAAUCUCCAAUUAACCCUGAUGUUUUAGAAGCAUUGACAGAGGUGGAAAAAAUGCUCUGCAAAUAUUUUGAACGCAUAGAAACCCGUGGGAAGAGGGACAGGAAGGUACCGUUACUUCUCACUCCAGUAAUGGUCAAAUCUUUGGAGCUGCUUGUCAAGGAGCGGAGCUCAUGUGGUGUGGGCGACUAUAAUAUCUACUUAUUUGCCAGGCCAGGAUAUGAUACACAUUUUCGGGGAUCCGACUGCAUUCGUGCCUAUGCCAAAAAAUGUGGAGCCCAGCAACCUAAAGCACUAUCCUCUACUAAACUACGAAAACAGGUUGCCACCCUCUCCAGAGUGUUGAAUCUCAAUGAUACAGAACAGGACCAAUUUGCUGACUUCUUGGGUCAUGACAUUAGGGUACAUCGCAAAUUCUACCGUCUACCUGAAGGAACUCUUCAGUUAGCAAAGAUCAGCAAGAUACUGAUGGCCUGUGAACAAGGCAGAUUGACAGAGUUCAAGGGGAAAAGUCUGGACCAAAUCUCCAUUAGCCCCUGUGGUAAGUGUCUAGGUUAAUAGCGAGAUGUUAACUUACAUUUUUAACAAUUUAUUAAAGAUGCUUUUAUUUGCCUGUUGUGUUUUAGAAACUCUCAUGUCUGAAAAAAAGGAUGACACAGACUACUCAAAUUUGGAAUCGGAAAGUGUCUCAGAGAAAGCGGAGUCUUCUGAAGAAGAGUCUUCAAAUGGAAACCUGACAGAGAUGACAGCGAUUGGUCACAGGCAGUCAGCACAGAAGGGGAAGCUGGGACAAAAGAGCUGUUCCCACAACACGGCCGUAUCUGAACAAACCGAAGACACAGGCUCCAACUGGGCAUCAGGAAUUCACUCUGAUAGAGAGGAGUCUUCUGAUACUGAUCUGACAGAGAUGACAGCGAUUCGUCACAAGCAGUCAGCACCAAAGGGGAAGCUGGGACGAAAGAGCGGUUCCUACAAAGCUGCCGUGUCUGAAAAAAUGGAAGACGCACACUGGAAUUGGGCAUCAAGAAGUGACCCUGAUAGAGAGGAGUCUUCUUAUACUAUUCUGCCAGGAAAGACGUCAGCGAAACAAGACGUGCAACCAGGACCAGCAAAAAGGUUUGAAAAGCAGUCUUUUUCCCUCCCUGCCAAAGGGGCAAAACAGAAGUGGUCGAGUACGGAGGUGGAUGCAGUUGAACAUUCUUUGAUGGAUUUCAUUCGAAUUGGAAAGACCCCUGGAAAACAAGACUGUGAGAGAUGUAUUUCUGCUUUUCCCCAAGCACUAGUAAACCGGGACUGGAGAGCUGUAAAAUUCUAUGUACGCAAUAGAAUAACUGCAGAUCAAAGACGUCCAAAUGCAAAAUACAUGUGAUUUUUAUUUGUUCUAGCUACAAAAGUUAUAUGGUUAAAAUCUUAACUUGAUAUGGUGGUUCCUCAACCUGAAUCUUGAGUGUGAGCCAAAUUCUGUAAACCAUGAGUUGGUUUAUAUUUAGGAGCCUUUACGAAGUCUAAAAAUCAACAGAAGUAAAUGGGGCUGAUGAGCAUGUUUUUAUUUUUCAUCAGCAUCAAACAAAAUACAAUUUUAUUUUGAACAGGUGAUUAAGACAUUUAUUUUAACUAGGCUCACACUCAGCCAGCUGUUUUGGCGUUUGUUAUAGCUCUUUAAAGAAAGAUUAACUGUUCAUUUUUUGUCCAGUCAGUGACAAACCACUUUAAUAGUUAGUAAGCAAAAAUUUUAUACUUUCAAUGUAGACAUUCUCAUAGGCUUCUUUUAUUUUUCCUGUUGAAUGUUUACAAAAAAAUUACUGCAAUUACAAUAAAAAAAUAAGUAUACUUAAAAUUAUCUAAACUUUAACAAAUUUAAAUAGAAUUAUUUAGUGUAUACAUUUAAAAUAUUUGAAGUGUUUUUUAAGACAAGAUUAGUUAAAUCUCAAUUUAGAGCAUUUUAUUUUAAUAUACUGGAAAACUUAAGCAAUAAAAUACAGGGGGUGUUUAUUUUGAAUAUACCAUGUUUGUUUAUCACAACUUUUUUUACUGCUGUCAUUAGUGGUACCGGUUCAUAAUAGCAGUAUAACAUCUAAGGGGUUUGUAAUAUAUCGCCAGUUUACCAUGGCAGAGAGUUGUUUGUAGGCAUGAUUGAACACCAUUGAUGCAGCAUUAGGUUGUAGUACGUUGGCAAUGUAUCAAACUCCUGAGAUGCCUUACUGCUCUUCUAAACCGUUCACUAACACAAUUAGAGCAGUAGGAAGUGAUGGCAUCAUAGCUGUGAUAUACAAACCAUCGUCCAAUCAACAAUCAUAAUUAAGUCUUAACAAUAUAUCAUAUCAGUAUAUCAAGGUAUGACAUUGACAUUACUUUUUCUGCUCUAAUUUUGUUGGUAGCAGUUUUAUUUUUUUAUUUUUUACAGCUGCAGUGUCUUACCUAAGAAAAGUUCUUACCUGUGGGAUUUUGGCUGUAUACCAUACCCCCUUAUUCAUUUUACUUUUAAGUACAUUUGAAAUAUAAUUUCCUUGGAAAACAGAUCAUCUUUAAACAUGUACAUCUAAGGAUGGAAUUCAAUUAUGCAUUAUGUGUUGAAGGUUGCAUUGAAACAAAACGAAUGGAGAUUGAUCUUGUAUUCUAUGUAAGCAAAGAGAAAUGGGAAGUCUUUGUUUUGGUCUAAACUUUUGGAAUAGUAGAAAAAAUUAAAUGUUUUUUGCAGUAUAAAAUGAGUUUCUUACGACAGUAUUUUGUAACUGUUUUUACAAUUUCAAAAAAAAAUUGAAUAGUAAUAUCUAGUUUUGUGAUUGCAUGAGAUCAAUUGAUCUCCUCUAUAGGGUUGUCCCAUAAUUAUCUUAUAGCAUAGGGUGAAUUCAGACGACUGCUGUUUCAGCAAAAUCUUUCUUAUCCAUUGACAAGAUAGACAGUAAAUGUAUAGCAGUACAAUUGCUGCGAAUAUACUGUCGCAGCUUCAACACCCCGUGACGAGAUUACCAAAAUCACUUGUUGCUUUGUCCACCAACAAUGCCCGUGUAUUGUCUGUCAGCAAAAUGUUUUUAACUACGGUUGACAGCCAGAUGUAACCAUUACGUUCAAUCAGCACCCCUGCUCAAAAUGUCUUUCUGUGAAUAUAUUGUAGGAGAGGCACUGGGAGUGGACGUGGGGUGUGUUCAGGGCCCUAGUGGUUGUUUUAUUAACAAAAUGAAGGGAGAGUGGAGUAGUUGAGGGAGAAUCAAAAACCAAUAAUUUAAUCCCUUUGAGGAAGCAGCAUCAAUUUCGGGGGACCUCCUGUUGGGGAUUUGGGAAGAAUGGUUGUCGGGGUUGUAGGUUUGGCAGCGGUUUCAACAUGUCCCAUUUCCUGGUAAUCUUCCUCUUUUUUUUUCCAGCCUUCUCUUGUCCAUCUAUCCGCACUUUGUUUAUGUGGGCCUUGGCCCCGAGAUGCUCUCAAGAAAACUUAAAGUACCUCAUCUGAUAAAGUCCCAAUGGAUGGCAGGUAUGCAGGGCUGGUGCUGGUAGGACCGUAAUAUUCUGGACGCUACAGUCUGUUUUUGUUGAGAGCGUUAGUGCCACACAGAUUUGUGUGGGUGCGUUUCCACAUUGGUUAUUAAUGAAUCACUGCAAACGGUCCUAAGAAGUUGGUCAUUUCUGAAAUAAUUUUUUGAGGGAAUAUGUUAUUGUUGAAGUGAUUUUCUAAUUAUAGAUUUUUUUUCAAACUCUGGACUGUAAUUGCUGUGCUUCUUAAGUGUCUGGAAAGCAUGGUCCCUGUGAGGUAGGCUUUUCUUGGAGGUCCUAAAUCGUUAAGUAAUACAAGACUGUGUGUGUGUGUGUGUGUGUGUGUGU
ensembl:lncRNA